UAGAGGAAGUAAAAGUCGUAACAAGGUCUCCGUUGGUGAACCAGCGGA
rnacentral:rRNA from 1 species